GGCUCAAAAGAGGCUCAAAAGGACAGAAUUGGGACAUAAGAGGAAAAAAUGAAAUAAAAUUAGGCUGGAAUCACAUUCAAUACCAACAACUAUUACCACAAAUGGAAGAAGAGACAACCAGAAAAGACCCAGGCACACUUCUGGAGACCCACUGUUGUGUAAAAUACAAUGACUGUAAAACAAUUAUGGGAAAAAUGGUACCAUACACAUCACAGCUGACUGUCUGGAAAGAGCCAAGGCUGUGGGACCGAGAUGUCCAGUUUUGCCAGGCAACAGUUGGAUCAUAACUGUGGCACUUCUUACUGUGUUCCUGGAGGAAGUUCUUCCCUAACUCUCCCAGUUUGCAGCAGUCUCCUGGGGAAGAACUGGUAUGGAAAGAACCAACUGUACUUGAGGGUGGGAGUGGGUGCCAGGAGGAAAAGCUGAGCAAGUCACUCACUUUAGUUUCUCAGCCAGAGCUACACUAUUACAGUUUCUCUGUCUCCUUAUCUAGCAUAAUACUCUGCUGGUCUCCUGAGACCCAGAAGAGAUGUUCUGGGCCAUUUCUGCCUGUCCCCUGGGGGUUUUUGGUGAAGAAUUGAGCUCUGCCACUCCUUAUUCCACCAUCUCCUGCUCUGGAGAUUUUAAAUGCAAGUUUAGGGAUCACCAUCAGUUGAUGUACUUUCACUCUCAUGAUUCUGUAGGUUUUUCUCUGCCUGGAAACUGCCUGAUUUUGCCUGCAUCCUUAUGGGCUUCCCCUUGUCAGUGAGGUCUAACCCUGUGCUCCCUGGGACAAGACUCAAUAUUAGACAUGACUACUGGACACAUGACUAAGUACUGAUUUUCCUCAAGAAGCUCUUGAUGUUGAAUAUUACUGACUGACAAAGUGGAGUCCAGGACAAAGCACAAUGCAGAUCUAGGUGAAUUACCCCUUGCCAAGUAUCUGAUUCUCAGCACUCCAUUCUGAGCUCUGUGUCUACCAAUAUCUUUAUUGUUCUGUUUGCAGCUGUAUCUUUUUCUUUGACUUAAGUUUUCCUUCUUCUUUAAGCAAUAGGAUACAUAUAAUGGGUUUUCAUAUGAUGUAAAUUGAAUAAAGGAAUUUCUUAUGAUUUUUAUAGGAGGAAAAUGCAGCAAAUGGAAAAGCAACCUCUAGAAUAUGCAUCCAAGAUAAUUUGAAAGAUAUUUGGCAUGAUUUCAGUGUCCUUAAAAUAAAAAACAAAAUAUUUUAUGUUAAUUAGAAUAAUUGCAUAAACUAAGCUGCCAAUACAAACUAUGCAAUACAAUUUUCAGUAUAUAUGAUCAAUUUCUUCCACUAAAAUUUUUGCUUCCUCAGUGGUCAGGGAGAGAUUUAUAAAUGAUUAAGGAGACAGAUUAUAAAAUUGGAAAAUGAGAAAUAUUUGAUAACUAAUUGGACAGAAUAUUCAUUUCCUAUACCUUAUAAUAGAAAUUUAUGAAUCUUUAUGUUUCCCAAAGACACGGUGGGUGUUUUGAAAGAAAGUAAUGAAAUAAUAUUAUCAGGAUUUUUUUAGCAUUCUAUAAAUUUGAACAUGGACAAUGAUAUAGAUAUUCUUAAAAUAUAUCCUUAUACAUUUUCAUUUCAUUACAAUGGGAAAACAGUUUUUGCAUGUGUGUUGAGAAACCUGGAGAAAGUUCACAGUUAGCAAGUUGACAUCCCCAAAGUUGGGGUAGGUGGAUUUUGGGCCCCUCCUGAUGGGAUGAAUUGAGAUGAGGACAGCAUCAGGCUGGGGUUUUCUGUUGGAAUGCAGGCCUGCAUCUGUUCAGAAGGCAGUGGGAAUAUUUGAGUUGCUGUCAUCUUUGCUUGCCAAAUACAUCAAAGACAUGAAGGAAUAUAUCAGUGACAGUUCCAAUUUAAAGGACCGUAGACUAAAAUGAACAAUGAGACAUUUCCCCAUUGUAGAGACAAUUGGUGAAACUUGAAAAUGAUCUGUGGGUUGAAUCAUAAUAUGGAAAGUAUGUUGUUUCCUGAUUUUGGUUUGUAUGGUUACCUAGGUGAGUAUUCCUGUUUUCAGGAAACAUAUACUGGAGUAUUUUGUGUUAAGGGCUAGAUGUGGUGAAAGUAUACACAUUGUGGUAUCUGAGGGGAUCACAAGUUCUUUAUAUUGUUAUUGAAAUUUUUAUAUAAGAUCUGUAAGUUCUAUAAUUAUUACAAAAUUAUACAUAUAUUACAAUUACUAUGUGGAUACCAUGCUAUUAAA